GACAGCAGUCGCCGCGGGAAUACAGAGGGUGCGAGCGUUAAUCGGAUUUACUGGGCGUAAAGCGUGCGUAGGCGGCUUCUUAAGUCGGAUGUGAAAUCCCUGAGCUUAACUUAGGAAUUGCAUUCGAUACUGGGAAGCUAGAGUAUGGGAGAGGAUGGUAGAAUUCCAGGUGUAGCGGUGAAAUGCGUAGAGAUCUGGAGGAAUACCGAUGGCGAAGGCAGCCAUCUGGCCUAAUACUGACGCUGAGGUACGAAAGCAUGGGGAGCAAACAGGAUUAGAUACCCCAGUAGUCCCUGUCUCUUAUAC
rnacentral:rRNA from 1 species